AUGUCUCUGCCUCUUUGUGUGUGUGUGUGUCUCAUGAAUAAAAAAAUAAAAAUGCCAAGAGUAGAAAAAGGUUUCACAAUGUUUCAACACUUUUUAAAAGAGAAGAAAAAAAUAAAGGAGAAAAAGAAAAAUGACAGACCUCCAAGAGUGAAGUGAAUGAUAGGUAUAAAAGCUAUGAAUAACUUUUAUUUUAAUUGUACAUCUAAUAUUCCAAGUAUUCCUCUACUUAUCUUUGAAAUAUAGGGAGGGGGUGCAGAAUGUGACCCAAUCAAUACUGCCUGAAGUUAUAUUUUACAUUUCUAAAAUAAAUUAUAUUCUCUGUAAGAUAUAAUAAAAUCA
rnacentral:lncRNA from 12 species